rnacentral:rRNA from 1 species
UGGGGAAUAUUGGACAAUGGGGGGAACCCUGAUCCAGCAAUGCCGCGUGUGUGAAGAAGGCCUGAGGGUUGUAAAGCACUUUUCAGAGGGGAGGAGGACUAUUAGGUUAAGAGCUAGAUAGUUGGACGUUACCCUCAGAAGCAGCACCGGCUAACUACGUGCCAGCAGCCGCGGUAAUACGUAGGGACCAAGCGUUGUUCGGAUUUACUGGGCGUAAAGGGCGCGUAGGCGGCGUGGUAAGUCACUUGUGAAAUCUCCGAGCUUAACUCGGAACGGUCAAGUGAUACUGCUGUGCUAGAGUACAGAAGAGGCAAUCGGAAUUCUUGGUGUAGCGGUGAAAUGCGUAGAUAUCAAGAGGAACACCUGAGGUGAAGACGGGUUGCUGGGCUGAUACUGACGCUGAGGCGCGAAAGCUAGGGUAGCAAACGGGAUUAGAUACCCCAGUAGUCCCUGAGCGGGCUGGCAAGGCGCAU